rnacentral:rRNA from 1 species
UACGAAGGGGGCUAGCGUUGCUCGGAAUCACUGGGCGUAAAGCGCACGUAGGCGGAUUGUUAAGUCAGGGGUGAAAUCCUGGAGCUCAACUCCAGAACUGCCUUUGAUACUGGCGAUCUUGAGUCCGGGAGAGGUGAGUGGAACUGCGAGUGUAGAGGUGAAAUUCGUAGAUAUUCGCAAGAACACCAGUGGCGAAGGCGGCUCACUGGCCCGGUACUGACGCUGAGGUGCGAAGGCCAGGGGAGCAAACGGG